GUCAACAUGAAAAUUAACUUAUAAUGUGCAAUAAAGAUUAAAAUGUUUAGAAAAUGGCUGUUUAAGGUAAAUGACGUGAUUUUAUUGGACCAGACUCAUUAAAUAAUUGUUUCAUUUAAACUGCAUUUGACCAAAUAUUAAUGCACUCAUGAAAACACUUUCAGGUAAUCAGCCUACUUAAGAUAUUUCUAGCAUUUACUUUCUGUUUAACUACACUUUUUUUUUUAAAGAUUUUGCAUUAUUAUCUUUUGUCUGAAAGUCCAUCUCUUUUAAAGGUUAGUCUCCAGUAUUUGCAGUACUUUGAACAAAUCUAUGAUUCAGUGGAUGCUGUAUUAUCAUUUUUUUUCCUUGCAAAUACAUUCAGGAUAAUCAUCAAGUCUCACAAAUGUUUGGCUGGCAUCUUUAAUGGUUUAUGAAUUCAAAAUGCAGAUUUAAAAGGAUUUGCAGAUGACCAAGUGUUAUGACUUAGAUUAGAGGUCUUCAAGUUGGGAGUCGCGACCCCCAGUGGCGUUGUGCCAGUACUACAAGAGGGUGUUGUAAAAUUUCUGAUUGAUUUGACAUAUUCAGUUGUUUGUUUUUUAUCCAAAGUUGUCUUUAAAAACACAUGAACAUGAAUCCAAUAUGCAACAUAUUCAAGAAAGGAGCCAUUGAAUAUUGUGUUUCAGUCAGAAAUACAUUCAUUGACCAAAAAUCAGUUCAUCAUGGUAAAAGUUCUGAGUUUUAUUAAUUUGUUCAUAACAGUUUCAUUGACAGGUCAUCACUUUUGUAAUCAAACCUCAAUAAAGAAAAUAAAAACGUGAU